GGCGCCAUCGUCUAUCGGUUAGGACAGCGCCCUUUCAAGGCGCAGAGACGGGUUCGAUUCCCGUUGGCGCUACCA
rnacentral:tRNA from 1 species